ACCACCAGAGAAAAAGGUAUAACAAAAGGGGGACUUCUCUUCCCCGCAUCAACACCUCAAAUCUUAACGAUCUUGGCGGCCCGGACGACGGGGUUCUCCCGGGCGAUGGCUUCCCGGCCGGCGGCCUUGUAGUCGAAGCUGCAGUCGUGGCGGUCCGAGUACCGGUGCUCCACGCAGAACAGAUUCCCGCACCGGCACCGAAACCCCGUCAGCCCCACCCUCUUCCGGCAACCCGCGCACCGGUUCACCCGCCUCGCAGACGCCACCCCCACGGCAGCGGCCGCGGUGGCGGCAUCAGUCUUGGCCGCCGGCGAUUCAGCACCUCCCCUCCCUGCUUCCACCGCCGGAUCUGGCGACCGGGUCGGGGUGGAGCUGGGCUUCUCGUGGCCGGAGCGGGACGGGGGCGAGGGGGAGGUGAAUCCGGCAGCCUGGAAGCAGGCUUGGCACAUGUUGUUGGUGGCGGGGUUGCCGUAGAAGCCGCAGUUGUUG
rnacentral:lncRNA from 1 species